rnacentral:tRNA from 1 species
GGGCGCGUAGCUCAGUUGGUAGAGCAGCUGACUCUUAAUCAGCRKGUCCGGGGUUCGAGCCCCCGCGCGCCCACCA